UAAUAAUGCAGGUAGAGAUACGCUGUAUACUCGUGCAAGCGAAUUAACGUUUAAGCGCUAUGUAAGAGCGCCGCCCACGAGGCCGCCGUAAGGCGGUUUUUU
rnacentral:sRNA from 1 species